GUAUGAUUUGUUUUUGUGACGAUUAUAGCAAUUUACUCUUGCUCUUGCAAUUUUUUGUUUGUAUUUUGUUUUUUGUUCAGAUAUAUAUAUAUAUAGAAAUAUAAAUUUGAUAUGGGCUAGCGUUUUAACAUAUUUUUUGUCCAAUGCCACAAUCCCCAAUUCGAGUAUACUCACAUCUCUCUUAACCAGUUUAUCUAAAAAAGUGAAUUUGCUUUGUGGCUACUUCUAUUUCUUCUGUAAGUCUUUAAAACCCUCAAGUUAUUAUAUAGAAAAAUACAUGAGAUGAGAAUUGAAAUAAAUUGGGCAUAAAGAUACAUUUCCUGUUAGACGCAUCGUUUCUUCUUUAAAUAAAUUUGCCUUUCGAUAUAUGCAAAUGCAUCAAUGGAGUGCUCAAUUUCUGGUCGGAUAAUAAACCGAGCUUCCUAUCGAAUGGUGUCGAUAUAGGAAUAUUAACAUUGUGAUGGAGUUGAACUGUAAGGUGCGCCAUAAUUUACGCUGCAAUUUCUUUUUUUCUUAAAGAACUUGUAUUAUUUAUCUAAAAUUUAUAAUUUAAGUUUGAAACAUCUUCUAAUCAGACACACAUUAAUCGUUUUGGUCUUGAUUUGCUAUGUUGAGGCAAUGGCGUUAAACCGCAAAUCCGUGUUCUCAACUAUUUCUAGAA